GAAGACAUUUGUGAAAUAUCUACUGUAACUCACAGCUUGACCACCUUGUGUCAAAUAUCCUGCCAGCAGGAUCCAGUAGAAAUCAGAUCUAAAAUGUUCCUCAAGUCUCAUUUGUUCAGAAGUGGAACUUUGCAAGGUGAAUGAAUCAUGGAGUGCUAUGCUCAUCAAUGGAUUAAUCCAGGGAUCCAGAAAGUGAUGCUUAGAGUGAGGACCAGAGCUCCCCAAAAGUGAACCAAAGCUAUUCUCAGUGCCAACAAAGCCCU